rnacentral:piRNA from 1 species
UAUCAUGUGUGCAUAAAAUAGAUACAAAGCC